AUUGAACGCUGGCGGCAUGCCUUACACAUGCAAGUCGAACGGCAGCACGGACUUCGGUCUGGUGGCGAGUGGCGAACGGGUGAGUAAUAUAUCGGAACAUACCCUAGAGUGGGGGAUAACGUAGCGAAAGUUACGCUAAUACCGCAUACGAACUAAGGUUGAAAGCGGGGGAUCUUCGGACCUCGUGCUCAUGGAGUGGCCGAUAUCUGAUUAGCUAGUUGGUGAGGUAAAGGCUCACCAAGGCGACGAUCAGUAGCUGGUUUGAGAGAACGACCAGCCACACUGGAACUGAGACACGGUCCAGACUCCUACGGGAGGCAGCAGUGGGGAAUUUUGGACAAUGGGGGGCAACCCUGAUCCAGCAAUGCCGCGUGAGU
rnacentral:rRNA from 1 species